GCCCCCAUAGCUCAGCGGAUAGAGCGCCUGACUUCGGAUCAGGAGGUCGCGGGUUCGAAUCCUGCUGGGGGUG
rnacentral:tRNA from 1 species